UACGAAGGGUGCAAGCGUUGUUCGGAUUUAUUGGGCGUAAAGAGCACGUAGGCGGAUGAUUAAGUCAGAUGUGGAAUCUCACGGCUCAACUGUGAAACAGCGUCUGAAACUGGUCGUCUUGAAUACCAGAGGGGAAAGGGGAAUUUCUCGUGUAGGGGUAAAAUCCGUAGAUAUGAGAAGGAACAUCAGAGGCGAAGGCGCCUUUCUGGCUGGUAAUUGACGCUAAGGUGCGAAAGCGUGGGGAGCAAACAGG
rnacentral:rRNA from 1 species